CAGCCGCCACGGGAAACCGUAGGUGGCAAGCGUUGUCCGGAAUUAUUGGGCGUAAAGGGCUCGCAGGCGGUUUCUUAAGUCUGAUGUGAAAGCCCCCGGCUCAACCGGGGAGGGUCAUUGGAAACUGGGAAACUUGAGUGCAGAAGAGGAGGGUGGAAUUCCACGUGUAGCGGUGAAAUGCGUAGAGAUGUGGAGGAACACCAGCGGCGAAGGCGACUCUCUGGUCUGUAACUGGCGCUGAGGAGCGAAAGCGUGGGGAGCGAACAGGAUUAGAUACCCCCGUAGUCCCUGUCUCUUAUAC
rnacentral:rRNA from 1 species